rfam:Myotis lucifugus cont2.2329, whole genome shotgun sequence.
GGCAGUUCUCAGGUGAUGCAGCCUGGAUUCGGGCUCCCUCCUCUCUGGUUCACCUGAGAACCACA